rnacentral:miRNA from 2 species
AGGAGCUGUGUAUUAGAAGAGA